CAAACCUCAAAGGGUUGUUGUGACUCUGAGAUGAUGUCUCUCCAAGUGGUUCAAUGGCAGUUGAAUCUAAACCAUUCAUCUCUCAGCAGCUGAGACUUCAGACAACUUCACCCUACCACACCCAGCUACUUGUGACUGGUUCCAGAGAGUGACACCAGCUGAUGAAAGAUGACAUUCUUGCAACUCUUUCCCGCCAAAGACUCAUGGUUCCCCACAACUUUGAAGCCAACUGUCAUUCGUCUUGGUUACACAAACCCCACAGUAUCAGGCAUGGCAUGCAUCACUACUCACUGUCUUGGUCAUCGAUGUCUGCUACAGUCAUUUACUGUAUGUACCAGGAUUCAUUCACUGUAUCCUUAUCACUUUCUUUAUUUGUCAAACAAAUAGUAAUAACACAUUCCCACAACCUUAGACUUGUAAAGAUUAAAUGAGUUGGUAUGACCUUGUGUGUUAACACUAGGCAUUGGAAAACUUUUCUGUAAAGGACCCAGUAGAAAUAUGUUUAAAUUUUACAAGUCAUUC